UAAGCAUAUUAGUAAGCAGAGGAAUUUCAUCAAACUUGGAUCUUGUAAGUAGUUGCGAAUGAACACAAACAUGUUCAACCUCAAAAUUGGUGUGCUCCAUGUGUGCACUGACUUGUUUCAAAGUUCAUCACUAUCAAAGCUGCAUGCAAAUGAUUUUUGAAAGGAUACAACAUGGGAUGUGACAUUCAUGUCUGUGUGCUUGCUUUGAUUACAGUGUGUGCUCUAUGAUUCACAUUUCUUGUAACUGAAAUGCAAAUUGCAUGGUAAAGUUCAUGUGAUGUGAUAUGUGUUUGAGAUUCAUGAUGUGCAAGUACCAUGAGGGAAAUGUGAAAAGGACUUUGAAAAGAGAAUUAAACAAAGCCUGCAUUUGCUGAUUGUAAACGUAAGUGAGGAUUGUAAUAGUAAUGUCUCUGCAUCAGUUGACAUGUCUUACGUGUUGUUGUAUGCUUGGCAUUAUGUUCAGCACCACUGAGUGUGCGUACUGGCUUUGAUUGAACUGAUUUCAUGUGGAACUGUUGAAUGAAGAUGCAUGUACACUUGUGUGAAGUAAUGUACGCACCAACUGUGAUCAUGCACUGUUUGCACAUGUUUUCAUGUGCUUCCUUGCUAAUUCUUGAUGUCACUUGGCAUAUUAUAACUACCCUCACUUGACCCGUCUUGAA
rnacentral:rRNA from 1 species